UGACUGAUUGUCUUCUCUAGUAAGUUUAGGACUUUUAAUCCGAUGGUCGAAGGUUCGAAUCCUUCACGGCCCACCA
rnacentral:tRNA from 1 species